rnacentral:lncRNA from 1 species
GACUGGCUAUCUCUCUACAUAACCUGAAUAGAGGGCCUGACAAACUGGUCUCUGCUGACUUGUGAGAUCCUGGGCAUACACACAGGGGAAUUUAGGGCCCAGAGAUACAGAAAUGGGGACAGGGCUCUUUUCUCCAAACUCCUCACAGAUCUCCAUGUAGUUCUGGCACUGGGAGUUCCCAUGUGGGUAGCCCCAGUGAGCCCUAUAGAACGAGCCCUGCAGAAUCUCAGUGAAGUUACUAGCCACACAGAUGGAGGCGCAGCCCUUGCCCAGGAGGCCAGAGGAAAGAAACUCCACAGACUUAUUCAGGAGCACGGGAACAUCCCCAGGGCCUCCCGAAAAUAACCAAGGGAGGUUUGGAGGAAAGACUGCAGUGCUGUGAGAACAGAUAUGGGCUCAGAGCUCUACAAAUUUGGAUAUUAAUACUAAGGCAGACGUCAUUGGUGCUUAAACUCUUUUUGAGAGAGCUGUAGGAAUGUGACUUAUUUAGAAUGAAGGACAAGCCUGGAUGAGGCCAGAGGGAAGACCCAGGUAUGGGUGAGGGGCCCAGAUGAAGACCCCUCCACCUCCUCUCACCCUCCACUUCCCAGAUCAGUCCUGGGAUGAGGUUGGGCUCCUAUCGGCACAUUCUUGCACACUCUAAGCACUCUCAAAGCUAAGCACCUUCCCAGAGGGGAAAAUUCCUCUGUUGGUUUAAAUAUUUAUCCAUGUUUCCAGAGCUAUUGACCCUGAACUUCCUGCUCCUGAGGGAUCUAUACCAAUCUGGGGUUUGUUUACAUGCUGUUUUAUUGUAGACAUUUUGUUGCCGAUUGUCCAAUAACACCAUGGGGCAAGUGGCACCAAUGCACUUAGGUGUGCAUGCCACAGGAUAAUUUUUUGAGACAUCUUAAUAUGUCUUGGGCUAAUAUAUGAAAAAAUGGAAAAAAAUGAAGUAGGGGAAAGAUACUUGGUCUUGAAUCAGAAAAGCCAACUUGAAUGGCUCUGCCAUUUCUAGCUUUAUGUCUUGGGGCAAGUCAGUCGAAUGGUGAAUCUCAAUUUCAUCCAUCUACCUCCCAGAGUUUGAGCAAGGGUCAAACAUUUUACGUAUAUCUUACCUAUGCAAAGAGGUAUAAUAUUCGUGCCUGUAAUAUAUAAUUGACACACAUAUAUACAUGGUAUUAUCUGUGUGUAUUUAUAUAUUAUAUACAUGUAGAUAGUAUAUAUGUAAGCAUACCAAAAUCUUAUUAUACAUAUACAUUUUGGAAAACUGAAGCACUGAACUGCGUGUAUAUUUGGGAUUUUUAUUUUUGAGAUAAUGUGGUUCUCACAAUCCUUGUUUUGUGUUAGUUCUGCUGAAACAUGUUUCCAAUGACGUUCGAAUUUUAAACAAGGAUCACUGUGAUAUAAGAGCUCAGUUGUUUUAAAAGGACUGUCCCUUCUCCUCUUGGGGAAAAUGAAAGUAGGAACAGAAAAUCGUCUAGUAUGUGCCUCUGUUUCCAACUUCAAUUUACUGUAUAGGCACAGGAACCAAGAGAAAUGUAAGUCGAUCAGCUGUGAAUGGAAUGGUGACCUUCACUCAUUUUUACUCUCUCUCUCUCUUUUUGUGACUGAGAAACAAUAAUAAAAAAUUGUCUCUUCCCUUGCUUAUUUCAAGACAGAGAUUUUAAGUGUGUUUUAUGACUUGAGCUUCUCUUAGGCCAAUCUGCUUCCCUAGUAAUGAUGAACUAACCCUCGACGUCCAUUAGCAUAAGUGAAUGUUAUUUUGUUAACUCUGAUGGGGUCCUAAUCAGCGCUGAUUCUCCCACCGGCACUGCAUUUUGGAGGGUGCACCCAGGUGCUCUCCCAGAUGUGAAAGGGAGAGUGCUGCCUGGCUCCUUCCCUGCCACCAUCCCAGAACCUUCAGCUGCAGACGGUUCAUGCCUGACUGAGAACCACUCAAGUGUUGCGUGAGCCACGCACUCUGCUGCAUCUAAUAAAAUCUUUCUCCCCCAGUCCUGCUCUAGGAAAACAGACACUAAUGUGAGUGAUGAGAGCCUGCCCAUGGCCCAGGAUGGCUGGCAGCCAUGUGCAGAAGAGGCUGGCAAUCAC